rnacentral:tRNA from 1 species
UAGCUCAGUGGGAGAGCACUUGCCUACAAUGCAUGAGACCCUGGGGUUCAAUCCCAG